ACAACUGGGAAGACUUCCAAGGACAAAAAUGUUUUGUGAAGUGGAUCAGUAUCCCAUGGCCAGUAAAACUCCAGGAUUAUUGACACUUGGCAUCAACUCUAGCUUACUUCGCUUUGCCAAUGCCAAUUUCCUCAAAGAAAGAAUAACAAGGUUAGUGACAGAAGAUGAGAAUGGAGCAGAAGAAACUGGAAAGGACAGACUUCAAAUCUUAAUCCUCGACAUGACCAGUGAGUUUAAAUAAUCAUCCUACAGUUUAC